rnacentral:rRNA from 1 species
UACAGAGGGGGCAAGCGUUAUUCGGAAUUAUUGGGCGUAAAGGGCGCGUAGGCGGCUUGGCAAGUGGAUGGUGAAAUCCCUCGGCUUAACCGGGGAACUGCAUCUGAUACUGGAUGGCUUGAGUUUGGGAGAGGGAUGCGGAAUUCCAGGUGUAGCGGUGAAAUGCGUAGAUAUCAGGAGGAACACCGGUGGCGAAGGCGGUUCUCUGGGCCUUACCUGACGCUGAGGAGCGAAAGCGUGGGGAGCAAACAGG